rnacentral:snRNA from 1 species
GACUUGAUCUGGCUGUGGCAUCUGUCACCCCAUUGAUCACCAGGCUUGGUUUGGCUGAUCUGACUGGCUAGGCGGGUGACCCCUUCCUCCCUCACUGCUCCUGUAUGUCCCUCCCAAAGCUGUGCACUCAGUCAAAGAGGACAACCAUCCUGGAUAGAGGAGGACUGGUCUUUGGUCAAGGGUAUAGGAGUAGCUGCACUCCCUUGCUAGACCCUCCAAAAAAGUUCUCAAAACAAAAUUUUUAACUAGCCAGAUGUGGUGGCAUACAGCUGUAUCCCACCCACUCAGGAGGCUGAGGCAAGAGGAUCACUUGAGCCCUCUUGCC